UACGAACCGAGCGAACGUUGUUCGGAAUCACUGGGCUUAAAGGGCGCGUAGGCGGGCUGCCAAGUUUGGGGUGAAAUCCUCCGGCUCAACCGGGGAAGUGCCUUGAAUACUGGCGGUCUGGAGGGAGGUAGGGGCGUGCGGAACUGUAGGUGGAGCGGUGAAAUGCGUUGAUAUCUGCAGGAACACCCGUGGCGAAAGCGGCGCGCUGGACCACUACUGACGCUGAGGAACGAAAGCUAGGGGAGCAAACAGG
rnacentral:rRNA from 1 species